rnacentral:tRNA from 1 species
GGAGUAGUACUCAAGAGGUCGAAGAGGCGCCCCUGCUAAGGGCGUAGGUCGUCUAAACAACGGCGCGAGGGUUCAAAUCCCUCCUACUCCG